AUUGAACGCUGGCGGCAUGCCUUACACAUGCAAGUCGAACGGCAGCACGGGUGCUUGCACCUGGUGGCGAGUGGCGAACGGGUGAGUAAUAUAUCGGAACGUACCUUAUCGUGGGGGAUAACGCAGCGAAAGCUGUGCUAAUACCGCAUAAGCCCUUAGGGGGAAAGCAGGGGACCGUAAGGCCUUGCGCGAUUAGAGCGGCCGAUACCUGAUUAGCUAGUUGGUGAGGUAAAGGCUCACCAAGGCAACGAUCAGUAGCUGGUCUGAGAGGACGAUCAGCCACACUGGGACUGAGACACGGCCCAGACUCCUACGGGAGGCAGCAGUGGGGAAUUUUGGACAAUGGGGGCAACCCUGAUCCAGCAAUGCCGCGUGAGUGAAGAAGGCCU
rnacentral:rRNA from 1 species